rnacentral:tRNA from 1 species
GUUUCUGUAGUGUAGUGGUUAUCACGUUCGCCUAACACGCGAAAGGUCCCCGGUCCGAAACCGGGCAGAAACA